rnacentral:tRNA from 1 species
GGGUGUAUAUCUCAGUUGGUAGAGUCCUCGCUCGACAUGCGAGUUGUCGCUGGUUCGAGUCCAGUUGCGCCCA